UACGUAGGGCGCAAGCGUUGUCCGGAAUUAUUGGGCGUAAAGAGCUCGUAGGCGGUCUGUCGCGUCUGCUGUGAAAACUCAGGGCUUAACCCUGAGCUUGCAGUGGGUACGGGCAGACUAGAGUGCGGUAGGGGAGACUGGAAUUCCUGGUGUAGCGGUGAAAUGCGCAGAUAUCAGGAGGAACACCGGUGGCGAAGGCGGGUCUCUGGGCCGUAACUGGACGCUGGAGGAGCAGAA
rnacentral:rRNA from 1 species